UACGUAGGGGGCAAGCGUUGUCCGGAUUUAUUGGGCGUAAAGAGCUCGUAGGCGGUUUGGUAAGUCUGGUGUGAAAUCUCCACGCUCAACGUGGAGGGGCCACCCGAUACUGCCAUGACUGGAGUCCGGUAGAGGAGUGUGGAAUUCCCGGUGUAGCGGUGAAAUGCGCAGAUAUCAGGAGGAACACCAAUGGCGAAGGCAGCUCGCUGGGACGGUACUGACGCUGAGGUGCGAAAGCGUGGGGAGCAAACAGG
rnacentral:rRNA from 1 species